CCCCACCUCCCCCCACUCCUCCGCCGAUCCCCUCCACCUUCUUCCUCCCAUGCCCAGCCCCCGAUCCACCUUCUUCCUCCCAUGUACCAGCCCUCGAUCCACCAACCCACCGCCGCGCCCCCCAGGCCGGCAAACUACCACCGCCGGUGCUCCGCCCAACCGCCCCACCUUCGCUGGUGCGCCCCUCCCUCGACAAGUCCACUCCCUCCCAUCCCCACCUCCCUCGUCGCCCCGCCCCGACCUCCCCGCCAGCCUCGACCAACUCCUAUGGUGUAUCCGUCGGGAGGUGGCCAGAUCUGAGCUCCGAUGGGCAACUGCUCAUCCAAAUCGCUGGGACGCGCCCCCAUCCACACCGCAACCACCCCCGUUCCCUCAUGUGUACUGCAGCAAAGCCGACCGGCGAGCUGCCUCCUCCCCGCCGAGAUCCAGCAAGCCGCAGGCUAGCUCCCCCUGACCCUGUGCACUUUGGUGCGUCGGGGCACGACCACAAGUGCACCACGUUGGUGGGCUGAUGAAGGAGGGAUUCUGAUCCAUGGGCGUCCCUGUCCUCUGUUCCAACUCCCCUCCUCUGCCGAUGGAGCAGUACGGCCAUGGCGGUGCAGCUGUUUUACUUGCGCACAUCACUGCAAUUUCUGUUGGGGAGUCAGUGCGGUGCGGCUGGAUGUCCAGUCCACCGACGAUCGUGCUUGCUUGCAGUCCGGUGGCACGAGGCUCGUGGUCGGAUGUAUAGUGCAGUGCAGUGCUAUUCGCCCUUCCAAGAUCAACUGCACCGCCCUUCCCCCGCGCCAUGCAGUCCAGUACGUGGGUGCACGCAGCACGCCCCACCGGCGUCGUGGCCGUGCAAUCCAAACUGUGCAUGCAGUACUCUAGGUGUAGUGCAUCGACCGCACGGCUUGCGGUUCAGGCAUCACGCGAGUUGCCGUUCGGUGCCUUUUCCAGCGAGGAGCAGUGGCAGUAGUAGCUACUAGAGCAGAGUAGUGGGUGGCAGUCUGGCAUGGAGGUUGUUUGAUCCAUUGCUCAUGGCCUCUGCUGGCUCCGCCGCUACUCUUCUCUCAUUUCUUCUGCUCAUUGACUGCAGGUUGCCUCUGUCCAGCCGCUAGCAAGCUGGUUCCUUCCUUCUGAACUGAUUCCUCUCUGCUGCAUAUUUCCUCCUCUGAGCCAACUACUGCUGUCGCAUGAAGGCAUCUAUUAUUGAGCUUUUUUUCUCCUCUGAUUUUCCAAUCGAAUCUUGGUGUUGUAGCUUCAAUGGGUUUGUGCGCACAAGGAAGAAAAUAUAGCUGAGCAGCAAACCCACUGAAAACCUAUGAGUAGAUGAGGCCGGCGAAUCCCUGCAGAAAAUGGAAGAUCCUAUCCAUCAGUUCUUGCAUCUUUGUCAUGUUUUUCUAGUGAUUGCUCUGAUGAUCCCUUGUGCAAGAUAGGCUGAAGGCCCAGCCUUCUUUGGUACGACAUCAACAUAGUACUCUUUGUGCUGAAACCAUGCCUUUUUUGUUGUUGUGAAACACAAGUUUAUUAUAGUACUAGAAUCAUUAGCAAAGAAUGUCUGGGAACUUGCUUUCAGUCAGAUAUAGGUUAUUUUUUCAAGGCAGAAAUGGGCGUUUACAAAAACCUACGAAACUAGUAGAUUGCAAUGCUCAUUAUCUGAGACCACAAGUUAUCUUGUUUAGUUGCAUAAGGUGGAAGGAGAGAGUUUCCAAACUGCAUGCCAUGGCCAGGGCUCAUGUUUUAUACUUUGUAAUUGAGAAGUUAUCUUGA